AGUAAAAGUCGUAACAAGGUUUCCGUAGGUGAACCUGCGGAAGGAUCAUUAACGUAUCUCUGACGGGACGCAGUCCGCCCUGCUCCGGCCCAAUCGGGUCGUGCAGCGGGUGGGCCGCUCCUGUUCAAACCUCACAAACCCACUGUGAACCUUCACGGCGGAGGGGGCUCGGUCUGUGCCGUGUCCCCGAGGCCGCAUACCAAACUCCAGUUGCAAAGAAUGUCGUGCGGACCUUGUGCCGCCUAAAACACAUAACAACUUUCAACAACGGAUCUCUUGGCUCUCGCAUCGAUGAAGAACGCAGCGAAAUGCGAUAAGUAAUGUGAAUUGCAGAAUUCAGUGAAUCAUCGAAUCUUUGAACGCACCUUGCGCUCCUUGGUAUUCCGAGGAGCAUGCCUGUUUGAGUGUCUUGAAGUCAUCAACCCCUCCCAUUUUGUUAUGGGUUGGGGUUGGAUGUGGGGGCUCUGCUGCCGUGAAGGUGGCUCCCCUUAAAUGCAUCGGUUGGGCUUGUGGGCCGAACUCGACUGGGUGUUGUACCAUCCUCGCUCGACAGAGAUCGGCCCCUGUUUGUGCCCUUCCCCGACCUGCCCGUUGGAGUGGCGGUCAAAGCAAACUUUGAAAUCUGACCUCAAAUCAGGUAGGACUACCCGCUGAACUUAAGCAUAUCAAUAAGCGGAGGA
rnacentral:rRNA from 1 species